CCUACGGGUGGCAGCAGUGGGGAAUAUUGCACAAUGGCGGAAACCCUGAUGCAGCGACGCCGCGUGAGUGAAGAAGUAAUUCGUUAUGUAAAGCUCUAUCAGCAGGGAAGAAAAUGACGGUACCUGAGUAAGAAGCCCCGGCUAAAUACGUGCCAGCAGCCGCGGUAACACGUAGGGGGCAAGCGUUAUCCGGAUUUACUGGGUGUAAAGGGGGCGUAGACGGGAGUGCAAGUCUGGAGUGAAAGGCGGGGGCUCAACCCCCGGAGUGCUCUGGAAACUGGACGGCUGGAGUGCGGGAGAGGUAAGUGGAAUGCGUGGUGUAGCGGUGAAAUGCAUAGAUAUUAGGAGGAACACCGGUGGCGAAGGCAGCUUACUGGACUGUAACUGACGUUGAGGCACGAAAGCGUGGGGAGCAAACAGGAUUAGAUACCCGUGUAGUC
rnacentral:rRNA from 1 species